GGAGUUAGCCGGUGCUUCUUCUGUGAGUGAUGUCCUUCCUGCCGGUUAUUGACCCGCAGGCCUUCUUCCUCACUGAAAGUGCUUUACAACCCGAAGGCCUUCUUCACACACGCGGCAUGGCUGGAUCAGGGUUGCCCCCAUUGUCCAAUAUUCCCCACUGCUGCCUCCCGUAGGAGUCUGGGCCGUGUCUCAGUCCCAGUGUGGCUGAUCAUCCUCUCAGACCAGCUACGGAUCGUCGCCUUGGUGAGCCGUUACCUCACCAACCAGCUAAUCCGACAUAGGCUCAUCCGAUAGCGCGAGGCCCGAAGGUCCCCCGNUUUCCCCCGUAGGGCGUAUGCGGUAUUAGCCUGGGGUUUUCCCCAGGUUAUCCCCCGACUACCGGGCAGAUUCCUAUGCAUUACUCACCCGUCCGCCGCUCGCCACCAGGGAGCAAGCUCCCCGUGCUGCCGCUCGACUUGCAUGUGUUAGGUCCGUCGCCGCCGACGCGUUCUACUACUCGAACCGAACGAUACAACUUACUGUA
rnacentral:rRNA from 1 species